CCGCUCCCUCCCCGCCGGAUCUCCCAGUGAGGAGGCUAGGGCUGCCGGAUCCGGUGACCCCAUUCUCCUCGCCGGCGGAUCCGGCGCCCUAGAGAGGAACAAG
rfam:Oryza sativa (indica cultivar-group) chromosome 1, whole genome shotgun sequence.